UACAGGGGGCUCGAGCGUUAGUCGGAAUCACUGGGCUUAAAGGGCGCGUAGGCGGCCUGAUAAGUAGGGGGUGAAAUCCUGCGGCUUAACCGCAGGGCUGCCUUCUAAACUGUCGGGCUCGAGCACAGUAGAGACAGGUGGAAUUCCCGGUGUAGCGGUGGAAUGCGUAGAGAUCGGGAAGAACAUCAGUGGCGAAGGCGGCCUGCUGGGCUGUUGCUGACGCUGAGGCACGAAAGCCAGGGGAGCGAACGGG
rnacentral:rRNA from 1 species